rnacentral:rRNA from 1 species
UCCAGAGGGGGCAAGCGUUAUUCGGAAUUAUUGGGCGUAAAGGGCGCGUAGGCGGCCUGGCAAGUGGAAGGUGAAAUCCCUCGGCUUAACCGAGGAACUGCCCUCCAAACUGCUUGGCUUGAGUCCAGGAGAGGUGAGUGGAAUUCCCAGUGUAGCGGUGAAAUGCGUAGAUAUUGGGAGGAACACCAGUGGCGAAGGCGGCUCACUGGACCGGAACUGACGCUGAGGCGCGAAAGCGUGGGGAGCAAACGGG